AGCUUCUCGCCGAACGCCGCCGCCAUGGUGUUCAGGCGCUUCGUGGAGGUUGGCCAAGUGGCCUACGUCUCCUUUGGGCCUCAUGCCGGAAAGCUGGUCGCGAUUGUAGAUGUUAUUGAUCAGAACAGGGCUUUGGUUGAUGGACCUUGCACUCAGGUAAGAAGACAGGCUAUGCCUUUCAAAUGCAUGCAGCUCACUGACUUCAUCCUCAGGUUCCCACACAGUGCCCGCCAGAAGUAUGUCCGACAAGCCUGGCAGAAGGCAGAUAUAAAUACAAAAUGGGCAGCCACAAGAUGGGCCAAGAAGAUUGAAGCCAGAGAAAGAAAAGCUAAGAUGACGGACUUUGAUCGUUUUAAAGUAAUGAAGGCAAAGAAAAUGAGGAACAGAAUAAUCAAGAAUGAAGUUAAGAAGCUUCAAAAGGCAGCUCUCCUAAAAGCUUCUCGUUUAAACAACAGCUCCAGGGUGGUCUUCUAA